GAUGUCACCCCUCCUCUGGACCCAUCCUCUGCUCCAUCUGGACCCAGGAAGCAGGUGAGACACUCUGUGAGACAGGCUGGAGUUCCAACUUUGCCUAAAAAAGGAAGUGGCUGAGCCAAGCUGGAGGAGCUGGGGCAGGAACAAGCGAGAAGUGUGUCCCCGCCGCCCCCACCCCCUCGAAGGGAGUCUUGGCAGUGGUGGUGCUGGCUCAGCUCCACAGGCCUCAGGACUCUGCUGGGACCAGAAACUGCCCGGUGCUUCCGCUUGGGCCUGUGCGGGUGGUGGGGGCAAUGGGCUCCCGCCCCUGAAGUCCAGGGUAUGCCUCCCGGAGGGGCCUGGCCUGGCCCCCAGCCCCGAAGCACAGGAGGCUGACCAGGACUGGGGCCGAAGGGGACAGUGAGCGGAGGCCAUGGUGAGGCCGCAGCAGCUGGAGGAGGCCUGGGGCUCCAGCCAAGAGCUGGCCCGGGGGUGCUGGGGUUGAGGUGCCAGGUUAACAUGUACAAACGCUCCUUG